rnacentral:lncRNA from 10 species
GGCUGACAUCAUCCACAUUAAAACCUUCUUCCCUAGCAAUACUCGUUGUUUCAAUGGAUAGCUUUCGAUACAGUGAGAAACCACAGCUUGGCCAACACCCAGGCAUUCAGCAAUAAAAUUCUGGUGCUGUGACUUGGAUUGCAGUGCUUGUGGCUCAGUGGCCACAGGCUAGAGAGAUCUGGAAACCCUCCCAGCAGCUGCCCAGCUAUAUUCAUCCAGAGGCGGGUUUUUGUUUCUCUCUCUUCCCUCACUGCUGCUGGCCCCAACCAUAUUCUUGAUUACUUAUGAAGGACAGGCUUUGAAAUUUGACAUCUGUAUCCAUCAAGCCCAGCUUGAGCUCUGCUUCAGAUAAUUUAAGAUGUACCAGGUGGCACUUCAGGCUAGAAAACUCUGUGGUCUCCCAGCAACUUAAAGGAAGAUUAGAGACGGGGUUUCACCGUGUUAGCCAGGAUGGUCUCAAACUCCUGACCUCGUGAUCCGCCUGCCUCGCCUCCCAAAGUGCUGGAUUACAGGCGUGAGCCACCGCGCCCUGCCACAAGAGGGUAAGGAAACUGAAAUAUGACAAGGUUAAAUGAUUCAGAUGAGGGGCCGGAAAGCACGCCUCCCGAGACCCAUUCCUGGAAGCGGGUCUUUAAAGCUGCUCUCAGUUUAAAAUCAACCAAAUGCUCAGAUAUCAGAUGCGGAAACUGAGGCACAGGGAAUUUGAACAACUUGCUCAAGGUCAUAAAGCUAGAAGGAGGCACAGCCAAGCAUGGGCUUGUGUGACCUCAAAGCCUAUGUUCUCGCCACUGCUCUAAACUGUUUAUUCUGUUGGCUUGUCAUAAUGAUUGAAGACAAUGUAUAUAAAUCACAGAGGGUAGGACUCAGCUUGUAAUAUGUCCUCCAUACAUUUUAUCGAACAUUAUUAAUUAAUAAACAACAGAUAAAUAACAACAGUGCUUUGUUUGAUUAAAUUAUAUAUAUGAUUAUAUUUCUUCAGUGAAAUUGUUGGUUAUGCAUUUCUUACAAAUAAUUCACAAAUAUUAAUGAAUGUCUGUGUUGCAGCAGGCAUUUUGCUCACCACGGUGGACCUGGGGGUAUGUGAAAUAGGCACCAUCUCUGCUCUCACAAAUUUAAUACGUGCAGGCUGCUGGAUUGGACUAAAGUCCUGAGGAGAACUAUAACAAUCUCUUAGAGGGAACAGUGAUUAAACAGGGAUCAAUUGUGCCACCCAUAUAGCCUUCCUACUUACUGAUCAAGAAUGAUAGCAGACCUUAGCAAGUGCAAAUCAACAAGAGGAAUCCAAUGGUGCUAUUCACUACUAUGAAGCUUUUCAUUUUGCCUCUUACUAAGAUUUCAAAGCUAUUCUUGCCCCCCACCCCACACAAAAACAAAUACUGUGCAAUCUCACUUACAUGUGGAAUCUGAAAAAGUUGAACUCGUAGAAGCAGAGAGUACAAUAGUGGGUGCCAUGGGCUGGGGGUGGAGGAAAUGGGAGAUGAUAGUCAAGGGUACAAACUUUCAGUUAUAAGAUGAACAAGUUCUGGGGCUCUAAUGUACACGAUGGGUGGUGAUGAAUGUUUUAAUUAAUUUGAUUAUUGUAAGAAUUACACAAUGUAUACAUUUAUCUAAUCAUCAUAUUAUAUACCUUGAAUAUAUUUGACCUUUAUUUCCCAAUUAAAUAUUUUAAAAUAAAAUAUAUUUAAA